GUGCUCGCUCCGGCAGCACAUAUACUAAAAUUGGAAAGAUACAAAGAAGAUUAGCAUGGCCCCUGUGCAAGGAUGACAUGCAAAUUCAUGAAGCGUUCCAUAUAAAA